GUGGGGAAUCUUAGACAAUGGGCGCAAGCCUGAUCUAGCCAUGCCGCGUGAGCGAUGAAGGCCUUAGGGUUGUAAAGCUCUUUCGUGGGGGAAGAUAAUGACUGUACCCCAAGAAGAAGCCCCGGCUAACUCCGUGCCAGCAGCCGCGGUAAUACGGAGGGGGCUAGCGUUGUUCGGAAUUACUGGGCGUAAAGCGCACGUAGGCGGACUGGAAAGUCAGGGGUGAAAUCCCGGGGCUCAACCCCGGAACUGCCUUUGAAACUCCCAGUCUUGAGUUCGAGAAAGGUGAGUGGAAUUCCGAGUGUAGAGGUGAAAUUCGUAGAUAUUCGGAGGAACACCAGUGGCGAAGGCGGCUCACUGGCUCGAUACUGACGCUGAGGUGCGAAAGCGUGGGGAGCAAACAGGAUUAGAAACCCUAGUAGUCC
rnacentral:rRNA from 1 species